GUAGGUGGCAAGCGUUGUCCGGAAUUAUUGGGCGUAAAGCGCGCGCAGGUGGUUCUUUAAGUCUGAUGUGAAAGCCCCCGGGCUCAACCGGGGAGGGUCAUUGGAAACUGGGGAACUUGAGUGCAGGAGAGGAAAGUGGAAUUCCACGUGUAGCGGUGAAAUGCGUAGAUAUGUGGAGGAACACCAGAGGCGAAGGCGACUUUCUGGCCUGUAACUGACACUGAGGCGCGAAAGCGUGGGGAGCAAACAGGAUUAGAUACCCUGGUAGUCCACGCCGUAAACGAUGAGUGCUAAGUGUUGGGGGGUUUCCGCCCCUCAGUGCUGCAGCUAACGCAUUAAGCACUCCGCCUGGGGAGUACGGUCGCAAAGACUG
rnacentral:rRNA from 1 species